AAUAUCGCAAAUUGAAUGAUUUUGAAUGUGGUUCCCUUCUCCCUCCUAAUUGAAACUGAAAUUUUCUCUCUCCUCGGUCACUCAGGUCAAUUUCUCUCUCCUCACUCAAUUUCUAACGCACCAUCUCUCUCUUCAACGAAAAUACACUUGAAAACCCGCAAAUUAUGUCACAAUUUCGCGAAGAUUGCAGAGAUUUUGAGUUGAUUUAUGCGGCGCUGAAUUCUUAAUGGAUCUGAAAGUUGAUCUCGGACGCAGAUGUAAAUUCAGUCCAAAUUAAGCAUGAAUACAUUCCUUAAUUUGGUUAAUUUACUCCAAAUUUCUUCCUGGAUGACAGUAAUUCGUCCCUCGAAUUUGCUAAAUCGAGCUCAAAGAAGGACGUAUGUGCCCAUUUCCUCUGUAUAAAGAUCUGUGCUGGAAAGCAUAAGUGUAUGUGAUAGAGUUGUUCCAAAGCUGCAGAGUUAGUCGCGGUGCAGUGAGGCAUGAUUGUGUGUGGCCGGGUGUUAAAGUGAGUGCCUGCAGCUUUUCGUGAGUUGUUGUGGUCAAUUUUGUUGUUCCGUUUCAGUUAAUAAUUAUACUGAAUGUCAGCAGAACUCUCAAAUCUCCAUCCAAUGUUUCUACCAGGUGUGGAUGGUCUUAAAUUCUCUACACACUGGCCGAAGGCUGACUUGUAAUCGUUGUAGUUUUAAAAGAUUAAUUGCUUAGUAUAAUAGUAGUGUACUACGCCUAUCAUCAACAAUAGUUUCUUGUCUGCAUUUUUACUUGCUUACUUGGUAUACAAAGCCUAUUUGUUUCUUGAACAGAAAAUGUUCCAGAUCAUAAUGCAUUGCAUGUAUGACUUGCCCAA